rnacentral:lncRNA from 1 species
GAUAAUUAUAAACAAAAUGAGUAGAACUCGAACAUAUUCAAUAGACAUCUAUCGCAGAUGUGAGUGGAGUGCUGGUGGGCAUGACUUGCAGUAUUCAGUUCAUCAUUUGAGAUAAUUCAUCCAUUCGACUAUGGAUGUCCAUUGAACUACCAAUCUCAUAAAUACUACCCCAUUUAGGUCUAGACAUGGGAGGGUCUCUCCUGGCAGCAGACAUAUGAUGCAAUGAGUUUUUAUUUAGGGUUUCAAAUAGCUGCC